UCGCCCUUCGUGUAUUUUUAUGAGGGGUUGGGCCUGCCCGGUGAUUAGUCAAAUUUUGAAAUUAUUAUUUAAUUAGAAAUUUUUUUUAACGGCUGCAAUUAGUAGUUGUGCUAAGGUAGCGUAAUCAUUUGCCCCCUAAUUAGGGGAAGGUAUGAAUGGUUUGACGUGGGAAGAGCUGUCUCUUUUGUAUAAAAAGAAGUUUAUUUUUGAGUGAAAAAGCUUAAAUGUUUAUAAAAGACGAGAAGACCCUAUCGAACUUGAAUUGUGUAUUUGAGUUCUUUGAAUGCAGAAAGUUUAGUUGGGGAAACUUAAAGUUAAAAAAAACGCUUUUUUUUUAUAAAAUGAUCCUGUAUUAUGGAAAAAUGAAAAAGUUACCGUAGGGAUAACAGCGCUUUCUUCUCUGAGAGGACUAAUUAAAGAGUUGGUUGCGACCUCGAUGUUGGAUUAAGGUUUCUUUUUGGGGUAGGAGUUAAAAUAGUAAAACUGUUCGUUUUUUAAAACCUUA
rnacentral:rRNA from 1 species